rnacentral:tRNA from 1 species
GCUGACCUUAGUGGCUGAUUUCUUUUCUUUUCUUCUCUCUCUCUCUCUUUCAGAUGAGGAAAUUUUGAUUUGCAGCUCAUAGUCCAUUGUUGGCUGACUUCAUUGCUCUGGGCUGGAAGUGAGGCAGAUCAUGAUGGAAGUUGUGAAGGAGGAAAUCAGCUCAGGAUAUGGAAACAAGGAAGCAGGGAGCCUUCAUGCUGAUAUCCAAUGGACAGGAUGCAGCAGAAGUGACACGGCAUGACUUCUGAGACUAAUUAAAAUUUUAAAAAAAGGAUAGAGCUGCAACCUGGUACUCCCACUCCACUCACCCUUGGAACUUAGCCACCAUGUUGUGAGGAAGCCCAAGACAUAUAUAGGUGCCUUGGCUAAAGUCCCAGAUAAGGUCCCAAUCAAUAACCAACAUCCACUACCAAACACGUAAAUGGGCAAGUCUUCAGAUGACUCUAGCCCCAGGAUUUGAGCCACCUCAGCUGAUAUCAAGCAAAGCAGAGAUGAGCUACCUGCCUGGAGCCCUGCCCAAAACACAGACUGAGGAAAAGAAAUAUUGCUAUCUUAGGGAAUUAUGUUUUGGGGUGGUUUGUGACAUAGAAAUAGAAAACUGGCACACUUGACUUCAAGGGUUCUCACCAGGUGGGUUAAGGGCAGUAGUCCUGUAUCACAUGUGAGAUCUUCUCAAGGGUUCACACUUAAUUCCAAUGUCCCCCCACCCUGUCUUGCUAGAUUCUUACACCACUUUAGGGUAUGAAUUGGGUAGGCUGGGGAGAAAUAUAACAGCAACAACAGUGGAGUUGCAACAGAAAUUUUGUAGAAGAUUAAAAAAUGCCCUCUCCAUAAUUGAGGUCCACUAGAUCUGCUCAGUCUAAUACAGUGGCCAUCAGACAUAUGUGGUUCUUUUUAUUUAUUUAUUUUUUAGUUUUCAGUGGACACAACAUCUUUGUUUGUAUGUGGUGCUGAGGAUCGAACUCAGGCCACACGCAUGCCAGGCGAGCGCGCUACCGCUUGAGCCACAUCCCAGC